rnacentral:rRNA from 1 species
GUUGAUCCUGCCGGAGGCCAUUGCUAUUGGGAUCCGAUUUAGCCAUGCUAGUCGCACGAGUUCAUACUCGUGGCGAACAGCUCAGUAACACGUGGCCAAACUACCCUUCGGAGCGCGAUAGCCUCGGGAAACUGAGGGUAAUAGCGCAUCCCACACGCGAACUGGAAUGUCGCGUGUGUCAAACGCUCCGGCGCCGAAGGAUGUGGCUGCGGCCGAUUAGGUAGACGGUGGGGUAAUGGCCCACCGUGCCGAUAAUCGGUACGGGCCAUGAGAGUGAGACCCCGGAGACGGAAUCUGAGACAAGAUUCCGGGCCCUACGGGGCGCAGCAGGCGCGAAACCUUUACACUGUACGAAAGUGCGAUAAGGGGAUCCCAAGUGCACAGGCAUAGAGCCUGUGCUUUUGUACACCGUAGGGAGGUGUCCGAAGAAGGGCUGGGCAAGACCGGUGCCAGCCACCGCGGUAAUACCGGCAGCCCGAGUGAUGGCCGAUGUUAUUGGGCCUAAAGCGUCCGUAGCUGGCCAUGCAAGUCCACUGGGAAAUCCACCCGCUCAACGGGUGGCCGUCCGGUGGAACCUGUGUGGCUUGGGACCGGAAGGCGCGACGGGUACGUCCGGGGUAGGAGUGAAAUCCCGUAAUCCUGGACGGACCGCCGAUGGCGAAAGCACGUCGCGAGGACGGAUCCGACAGUGAGGGACGAAAGCCAGGGUCUCGAACCGGAUUAGAUACCCGGGUAGUCCUGGCCGUAAACGAUGCCUGCUAGGUGUGGCUCCCGCUACGAGCGGGUGCUGUGCCGUAGGGAAGCCGCUAAGCAGGCCGCCUGGGAAGUACGUCCGCAAGGAUGAAACUUAAAGGAAUUGGCGGGGGAGCACUACAACCGGAGGAGCCUGCGGUUUAAUUGGACUCAACGCCGGACAUCUCACCAGCAUCGACUGUGGUAAUGACGGUCAGGUUGAU